AUUCGUAUUAAUAUACCUAUAUUUGUAUUCAGGUUAAUUAAAUUUGCACCAAUGGAGAGAAGUCGUACGGUAAAUUUAUAAUAAGCUCGUGGCGAUCACUGUUUGAAGACACGUUAGCGCAGAAAUUUUCAUAGCGUGGAACAGGGGCAAAAAAUGUAUAAGAGGGAUAAAUUUGACGUUGGCAAUUCGAAAUUCGUUUACAAAAAAGUUUGCGUUGGAGGACAGCGAAUUUGACAAAAUAAGUCAAACAUUUUUUCAGUACGCACAUGACCGAGCCUCAAAAUUUACAAGUACCAGGAAAAAAAA